AUGAAACAACUACCCUGUCGUCUUCAUCCUUCCCAUAUUUCAUAUUAUAUUUCUAAUUCUCUUCCCAUUUGGAUCUGCUUUGUGAAGGUUUUUGUUUUAUUGUUUUUAUUUUCUAAUUUCUCCCCAACCUCAGCUCUCCCCCACCCCCCACCCCACUUCUGUGGUGCAGCUCGGCUCAUGCAAACAGCUUCAGGACCAGCAGCGGUAUGGAUAUUUUUGACUGUGCAGCUGCAGUCUCUCUGGGAGCUCAGCUACAGAAAUCCCAUGAAGAUAGCAGGAUCCGAAAGAGAUAACAGCGCCUGCGUUUCUGCUGCUUACUGCAAGGACUUUGCAGGCCCUGGAGGAACCCGGGCCAGCUCUGAGGCGGGGGAGGUGGGGGGAUGGACUGCUGCUCACCCUCCUUCCUUAGCAUCUUUUCUGCCACAUUCCUCUGCAGGUCAACAGCCAGAGAGGGUGUCUGAGACCUCCUCAGGGUGCCCCACAACUAGUAUUUGGGAAACCAGUAUCUCAUGCCACAAAUAAACAGCACCCCUAAAAAUAAGUGAAGUGAAGACAAGGCGGGUUAUUUGUGUGGCUGGCUGGAGGUGGUUGCCUGCAAAGGUACCGAACACGAGGCGGGUUACUCAUGUGGCUGGUUGGAGACGGUUCCCUGCGAAGGUACUGAACACGAGGCGGGUUACUCGUGCGGCUGGCUGGAGAUGGUUCCCUGUGAAGGUACUGAACAGGAGGCGGGUUACUUGUGCGACUGCCUGGAGGCAGUUCCCUGCAAAGGUACUGAACACGAGGCAGGUUACUCAUGUGGCUGGCUGGAGACGGUUCCCUGCAAAGGUACUGAACACGAGGUGGGUUACUCGUGCGGCUGGCUGGAGAUGGUUACCUGCUAAGGUUCUGAACACGAGGCAGGUUACUUGUGUGACUGCCUGGAGAUGGUUACCUGUGAAGGUACUGAACAUGAAGUUCUCUUUUAUGGUUUGUUGCCAUUCAGUGUCAGAAAGGAUUAAAAAUACACUCACACUCCAUGGAGACUUUCUCCUUGCAGUCGUGGAGGGACCCGAGGGAAUGAAUUUCCGCCUAAGCCUUUUCUGAGGUACGUUCUUCAAACUGAGGGUCACUGGAGCCUGCCUUUCCUAGGCCAACCUGGGAGCUGGGCUCCCCCACCCAGGGGUGGCCUGGGGUGGCCCUGGCGCUAUGGAUGCUAGAGGGGAGCAGCUUGAGUUCCAGGCUCUGUGCUCCCCGUCACCAACUCUGCAAUCUCAAGUGUCAUUUAAACUUUUCUGGCCUCAGUUUCUUUCUUUGCCUGUAAAGUGAGGUGUUGUUGUACCCGCUCCUAGGGUGGAGGUGGGGAUGCCAGGAGAGAAGGGACACACACUCCAAACUCGGCACCCUGCUGCACCUGCCUCCUGCUUAGUAAUCCGAAGUCUUCCUGUAAUGCAGGGUCAGAAAACAUGGAGACAUUUUCCACUACCAUGUCAAAUAAUUAAUGGCUGCAUAUCUUCAAUGAGGUUUACAUAUUAUGCUAACAUACACACAUGCACAUCCACAUAGACACGUACUCAGGUCGUCGAUGUUGCAAAACUCAAAUCACCAUGCCUGGUUUUCAGACACCUCAAGGAUGGUAGGAAAAGCUUGGGUUUCCCAGCUGGCUUCCUUCUCUCCUUCAUGGCCUCAGAUGACCCUGGAACAUAGCUCCCUUGCUGCUCCGGAUGGCCUGGAGCUCUCCUCUCAGCUUUAAAGAAAUUCCCAGGAGGCCUGAACAGGUUUUGGAGUCUGUGAGCUUGGAGAGGUGCUGGCCAAAGCUAUUGGGAAUCAAGGCUCGGGGUCUGGAACAUUGCACCUGCGCUCCCUCAAUUGUGUCGAAGGGGAGGCCCCCAUCUGUGCCCGGCCCCCAACACCCCAGCUGAGCUUCACUGCCCCAGGAAGCUCAGACCCCAGCCUGUCCCGGCCAGGAGGCCUGGACUUAGCCUGAUGGAGGCAGAACUUUUUCCUGUGGUCAAAGCCCACCCUCCCUGGCUCUGGGGCUGGUAGAUGACAUGUUGGACUUGAGAGGCAGGAAAGCCAUUCCACUGCUGUGGGUUUGAGUGCCUGAGGAUUCAGCGUAUUUCAGAGACAGUGUCCUUACUGACGAACUGAGAUGACACUCCUCGUGACAGCUCAGGACUGUGGCGAGGACUUAGUGGGACAGUGGGGGUAGGCACUUUGUGUAGGGACUGGCACUCAGGGAACAUGCCAUCAUCAGCAGCUGCUAUGAAGACUAUCAGGUCACAUGGACAUUUUUCCCUUUGUAAACAGACCCUCCCUGCCUGGGAAGGCAAGGGGAACUGCAAGUGGGAGUUUUUCCAAGAAGUGAGCAUUCAUGGAGCACCUGGACUUUUUCUGCUGUCAGGUGGUGGUAAGUGUUAUGGAGGAAAAUGAAGGUGGGGAGACAGCAUGGUGGUGAUGGUGGUGGUGGUUAUGGUAGUGAAUGAAGAUGAUGAUGAUGACAAUGAGAGUGGUGUAAUGGUAAUGGUUGUGAUGUCAUGGUGAUGACGAUGAUGGGAUGAUAGUGAUUAUGGUGGUGAUGAUGGUAGUGGUGGUAGUGACGGUGAUGCUGAUAGUAAUGGUGGUAGUGGUGAUGGUAGUGGAGAUGGUGGUAGUAGUGAUGGUGGUGGUGAUGAUGAGGUGGUAGUGGUGGUAGUGAUGGUGAUGGUGGUAGUGGUAGUAGUGAAGGUGGUGGUGAUGAGGUGGUAGUAGUGAUGGUGGUGGUGAUGAUGGUGGUGGUGGUGAUUUGAUGGUAGUGAUGACAGUAAUGAUAGUGGUGAUGGUGGUGGUGAUGAUGAGGUGGUAGUGGUGGUAGUAAUCGUGGUAAUGGUGGUCGUGGAAGUAGUGAUGGUGGUGGUGAUGGUUCUAGUGGUGAAGGUGGUGGUGAUGAUGGUGGUAGUGAUGGUUCUAGCGGUGAUGGUGGUGGUGAUG
rnacentral:lncRNA from 1 species